AUGUUCAACGACAUCACGGUGCUGCUGCUGCAGCCGGGCGUGUUCAAGGAUGCCGUGGACAUGUUCGUGGAGCGCUACCGCCGAAUGGGCAUCGUGGCCGUCGCAGGUAAGAUCAUUACCCUUAUCCGACCGACCGGCCCUCUCACGAGUCAAUCAUGCAGUACCUUCUCACCAAAGUGUAUGCCACUUCCAUGCUAG
rnacentral:rRNA from 1 species